CCUCAAACCACAUUUGGUCAUCUGAUCUGAUGACUUAUUUGGGGCAAGUGUUGUCACUCAGGAGCCAGUUGUAACCAGUUCCGCUAACAAAUGUUAGACUUUAGAAUGUUGUUCUCAUUGUCCCUUGGUCUUGAGAAGCUGCUCGUUCAAAGAGUUUAUAUUUAACAGAUAUUUGGGCACGUCAUCUGCAAACAAAGACAUCACGUUAAGAAACAGAACAGAAAGACCGACAAGAAAGAAAACAGUAAAAUGAAAACAUCAAAGUGUUUGGCUUUAACCUGCUGUGUGUUGAUACUUCCGUAUUUGAUCUUAGCUCAACACAGAGUGCUGAAUGUCACCCGGGUUUUUAAUGUUCAGCGGGGAACGUCUGUCAAUAUCAGCUGUAACUACAACAUAUCAGUUGACACUGACGUCAUGCAUGCAUCUCUAAAUAUGAAUCAAAAAUUUUGUUUUUACUAUAUUUAUAAUAAAUCGCAGGUUAACCAUUCAUGCAAAGAUAUUCGAUUAUUCUGGUUUGUAGAAACUAAAAAAAUUAAAAUUCAGCUGUCAAAUCUUCAAAUAAACGAUUCAGGCACUUACUCCUGCACUGUGGAAAGACUAGUGCCUCCUCCUUUUGUGAAUCUAGGAAUAGACCAAACAACUGUUCAGGUUGUUGCAGGUGUGGCUCAAACAUGGAGAAUUUCAGAACAUCUCUCAGACACAAAACACUAGAACCAACCCAGAUGGAUCAAGCAGCCUCCAUUCGUAUUUAAAUGUUUCUUCUGCCAUGUCUGAUUAUGUCAACUAUUCCUGUUGGGUAAACCACUCAUCCCUGAACAAGCCAGUUGUGCUCCACCUGUCUCCUACUGACUGCUAUGAGAGAAAAAACAGGUAAUCAGUUACAGAAUGUACCAAUGUAACGGCCAGAGAAAUACUGACAACUGUGUUUACUGUAAUUUAGUUCAAGACGUUCACAUUUAAGUGAUAAUAUGAAGAUUGUUCUGGUGAUUUCUGCAUUGCUGAUUCUCAUCAUCUUGAUCUUCGCAGUAGUCCUUAAGCGCUUCGAAAGAACCAAUCACCGAUCUCCUAUAUCACCCGAGUCUGUCCGGUUAGAGUUGGUUUAUUCGAUGCUGGGGGAUCAUCGUCCUAUCCCAUGCUCUAACAGGCCUAACCAGGGUCUAGUCAACACCACCAGCACAUUAAACAAUGACUGAAGACACUUCAUAUAACCACUGACAGAGAGAGAAAUCUAAUCUGUUAUUCAGUUACAAAGGACCUUUCGGUACCUAUAGUGACUUGUUGUCAUGUGACCUAGUUAUAAAAAGGUUUUGACAUAAGGUUUUCUCUUUCUAAUAAGGAGAAAGGCCUCCUCAGUGAGACAAUCUAGUUUUCCUAUACCUGCAGUUGAUGGGAGUUGAGUUGAUAAGAGUAAACCUAUAUGAACUCUGAAGUACACACAUUCGCUAUGGAGGACCGAGAGUGCCGAUUAGCAAUAAAAUGAAGAAUCAAUUGAUCAAUUAAAUAAUUAAAACAUAAAAAUGUUAACAAAUAAACAACUUUUCAAAUUGAGAAAUUAAUAGACUUAUUUAAAAUGGUUUAUUUAAUUUGUGUUUUAAAUCUAAAAAAAAAAUCUAAAAAAAAAAAAAAAAUCUAAAAAAUGUAGUUUAAUUGAACUAUAAAACGUUAAAUUAAAAAAAUAAUUUUAAAUGUAUAAAUAAAUAUACACAUUUAAAACUGUUUAUUUAAUUCAUGCUUUAAAACGUAAAAAAAUAAAAAGUUUUAUUGUGCACAUUUUAAAUGCACAUUUUAAAUCGCUUUUUAAAAAAGCGAUUGAAGACUUCAUUGCAAUAUUUAAGAAAAUCUACAAUUUCAUCUGCCACACACUAAACUUCUAAAGCAAAGCACCAGAACAACCCACUCCUUUAUUUUUCUGUGUUUUUAAGGGAGUUCGAAAAUGUAGCUAGUGCAUUUACUGACCUACUGAGCUGCAGUGUGAUCACGAAUUAAAUAAUUUGCAUAGUACAAAAUAACAAUAUAAUAGAUAGCUUUUAGCUCAUUUUAAUAUUUAUUUUAAUAUUUCUCCUGACAUGACAUUUGCCUUUUAUACUAUGAAUAUAAUUCUUAUAUCCAUGAUCUCAUGUUUAUUGUCAACAGUGUUUGUUAAUUGCAUAACUUAAUAAACACAGAAGGUUUUUAUGUUGAAAAAUGAACAUCAUAAGUCAUGUUUCACUGACUGUGAAAGGUUGUGAUAUCCUCUCCCCUGCUGACAUGAUGGGUGCUAUAGGGUGCUAACCACAACGUUAGACGUCAUGGUCACUGGUAAGUAACAUCCUGAUAUAUCCUGCUAAAUCAAAGGCUGAAGGAUUGUCGAGAUUUGGCAUAUACAGCAAUGGUUUUGGAGGCUCCCCAACCAGUUUUUAAAAAAGUUAAUACAGCUUUGUUUAAUUUUAUUUGGAAAAAUGGCCCGCAUUAUCUAAACAGAAACGUAUUGUGUAAUUUGUUUAAUCUGUCUUAAAUGCUAUUGACUUUGAAGUUUCUAACAUUAUUUUUAAAAUUAAAUGGAUUCAAAAUUGUAUUAAAUUUAAUGAUAAAAUGUGGUACUAUAUCCCAAAUUUAAUUUUUAAUAAAAUUGGCGGCUUCACUUUUCUCCUUAAUUGUAACUUUAACAUUAAUAAACUUCCUGUUAAGUUAUCUAAUUUCCAUAAGCAAGCUUUAUUAUCUUGGUUAUUGGUAUAUAAACAUAAUUUCUCUCCCCACAAAUGCUUAAUUUGGAACAAUACAGAUAUUACAUAUAAGAACAAAACAAUUUCUAUGGACUAUUGGGUGAAAAAUAAUAUUUUGUUGGUGACACAGUUAUUUCAUAAUAACGGUCAUUUAUUGUCAUAUGAAGAAUUCUUAAAUAAGUUUCAACUUCCUAUAUCGACUAAAGAGUAUGCAAUUUUCUUUGAUGCUAUACCCUCUGGAUUUAUUCAGUUAAUCCGUCCUGUUGUUAUUGAUUUUAAUAUAACUCUUGAUUUUACUUUAAAACUACAAGGCGUUGGUAUUACUGACAAGAAGUGUGACAACAUUUUUCUGAGACGAAUAAGUCGGUCACAGAGGAUACCCUUGGCUAAAAGCAUUUGGAGCUCAGUCUUUCAUGACAUUGAAUGGGAGAAAGCUUUUAUGAUUAGGAAGUAUUGUGUCACCAAUAAGAUACAUGAAGUUUCAUUUAAAAUUAUUCACUGUAUUUACCCAGUAAGCCAGACUGUUAAAAGAUUUUAUAAAUACAUUAAUAUAACCUGUGCUUUUUGUAAUAUGGAUGAUGAAACUAUCUUUCAUCUUUUUUUUGACUGCUUUUACCAAGUUAUUUUGGUUUGAUUUUAAGGUAUUUUUUAGGGAGAUUUCUGGCAUUGACAUUGUUUUGGAUGCUAAAAAUAUUUUGUUUUUGUAUGACAAACCUUUAGAUAAAAAAAAUCCUUUUUGCUUAAUCUAUUUAUUAUUUUGGGCAAGUUUCAUAUUCACAAAUGUCGAUGGUCAAAAAAGACACCAAACUUUACACAUUUUAAAUUUGAGGUCAAUAUUUUGAAACAUUGAAGGGUGUAAGGAACACUAAAGCUAAGAGAACGGUGGACUAUUGUAAAGCCUUGAAUUUCAAUUUUCCAUAGACCUUUUAUUAUUAUUUAUUUAUGUUGUAUGUAUACAAUGUUAUUUGUUAGUCUGAAUACCCCUUUGUAUAUAGUUUUCAUUAUCUUUUUCUCUUUUAUGCUAUGUUGUUGUUGUUAUUAUUGUUAUUUUUUGUAUAAUUGUUUAUUUGUCUCAUGUAUCUGUUGUUGUUAAUUAAGCAUCAAUAAUAAAAAAGAUAUA